AAGAGAGGAACAAAUAGGAAAUGGCGAGUGGUAGGCGUCAUUCCUGUUCGUUUUGUUUCGUUUUGAUUUGUAUUUUGUUUGUUUUUCAUUGAAUUGAAUUUAU
rnacentral:ribozyme from 17 species